rnacentral:misc_RNA from 1 species
GUAGGUGAACCUGCGGAAGGAUCAUUAUUGAAUAAACUUGGGUAGGUUGUUGCUGGCUCUUAGGAGCAUGUGCACGCCGACUCCAUUUUUAACCACCUGUGCACCUUGCGUAGAUCUGAUACUCUCGAGGAAACUCGGUUUGAGAAUUGCUGUGCAACAAAAGGCCAGCUCUUCUUGUAUUCAGGUCUAUGUUUCUACAUACCCCACAUGAAUGUAUUUUGAAUGUCGUCAUUGGCCUUGUGCCUUUAAAAACAAAUACAACUUUCAACAACGGAUCUCUUGGCUCUC